rnacentral:pre_miRNA from 1 species
GAACUGUUGUACUCCGUUUAACAAAAGAUGUCUCAAGUUUGUCAAAAUUUGGAUGUAUCAAGACAUGACUUAGUAUAUAGAUGCAUUCAAAUUUGGUCAAAGUAGAGACAUCCUUUGUUGGACGGAGGGAGCAUUAG